rnacentral:tRNA from 1 species
AGCACGGUGGCCGAGUGGUUAAGGCGUUGGACGUAAGAUCCAAUGGACGUAUGUCCGCGUGGGUUCGAACCCCACCCGUGCUA